rnacentral:rRNA from 1 species
GAUGAACGCUGGCGGCGUGCCUAAUACAUGCAAGUCGAGCGAACGGACGAGAAGCUUGCUUCUCUGAUGUUAGCGGCGGACGGGUGAGUAACACGUGGAUAACCUACCUAUAAGACUGGGAUAACUUCGGGAAACCGGAGCUAAUACCGGAUAAUAUUUUGAACCGCAUGGUUCAAAAGUGAUAGACGGCCUUGCUGUCACUUAUAGAUGGAUUCGCGCUGCAUUAGCAAGUUGGUAAGGUAACGGCUUACCAAGGCAACGAUGCAUAGCCGACCUGAGAGGGUGAUCGGCCACACUGGAACUGAGACACGGUCCAGACUCCUACGGGAGGCAGCAGUAGGGAAUCUUCCGCAAUGGGCGAAAGCCUGACGGAGCAACGCCGCGUGAGUGAUGAAGGUCUUCGGAUCGUAAAGCUCUGUUAUUAGGGAAGAACAUAUGUGUAAGUAACCGUGCACAUCAUGACGGUACCUAAACAGAAAGCCACGGCUAACUACGUG